AGCGAACGCUGGCGGCAGGCUUAACACAUGCAAGUCGAGCGCCCCGCAAGGGGAGCGGCAGACGGGAGAGUAACACGUGGGAACGUACCUUUCAGUUCGGAACAACCAAGGGAAACUUUGGCUAAUACCGGAUACGCCCGUAAGGGGAAAGAUUUAUCGCUGAGAGAUCGGCCCGCGUCUGAUUAGCUAGUUGGUGGGGUAAUGGCCCACCAAGGCGACGAUCAGUAGCUGGUUUGAGAGGAUGAUCAGCCUCACUGGGACUGAGACACGGCCCAGACUCCUACGGGAGGCAGCAGUGGGGAAUAUUGGACAAUGGGCGCAAGCCUGAUCCAGCCAUGCCGCGUGGAUGAUGAAGGCCUUAGGGUUGUAAAGUCCUUUUAACGGGGAAGAUAAUGACGGUACCCGUAGAAUAAGCCCCGGCUAACUUCGUGCCAGCCGCCGCAGUAACAC
rnacentral:rRNA from 1 species